UCCCUGGAGGUCUAGUGGUUAGGCCACAGUGCUCUCACCACUGCCACCCAGGUUCAACUCCUGGCCAGGUAA